rnacentral:lncRNA from 1 species
AGAUCGAUCGAGCUGGAAGCAGCUUUCCCACAAAGUACAGUAGCAGGUCAAGGCAGGUAUACAGACAUGAUCGAUUUUACAUGAUGGCGCACGCUUGGGGAUUUUCUUCACCGAAACAAUCGGGGCGUGUCAUGCAGUAACUACUAGUGGCAUAGCUCCUCCCACCGCCGUAACUAUCAUACACUGGCCCACCGUAACCAUACCCAGUUUGGCAGGGACCACCCGGAUGCCCUCCGUAACAAUCCAUACAACACUCGCUCACCGUCACCGGAGGGUAAGCCGGAACCAGAAACAGAACCGGCUCUUCCUUCGGCUUCUCUGCCUUCUUGGGUUCGUCUUUAGGCCUUUCAGCCUCCUUCGGUGUCCCUUUAGGCUUGUCAGCAUCUAUUGGUUUCUUUUUAGGCUCCUCUUUCUUCUUCUCCUCUGGUUUCGCUUUAGGCUUCUCCUCCUUUGGUUUCUCUUUGGGCUUCUCGGGCUCUUUGAUGUCGAUGCUCUUGAUGGCGCCACCUCCUUUGCAGCAUAGCUUGUCUCUGAUCUUCUCAGGACUGCAGCAGACCACCUUGAUGAUCACCUGGUUGUUCUUCUCGUCGUACGUCUGGUCUCGUAUUUCUCUUGUUCACAAAAUCCAACCAAUACCAGAAACCACACUCAAUUUACGUUUUUUUGUUUUCUCUGCUAAAAUACACAACGUACCAGAAUGGAAGAGAAAAGAAGAAACUCACGAGGGAAUUUACAGAGAACUUUCUUAACCUUCUUGUAGCAUUUUUCACACUGAAGGUCCACCUUCAGAACCAUUAUCGUCACCUGAUGACAUUAAUACAAUCAUUUUUGCAGAAAUUAGAUAGGUAUAGAGAAUGGUUAAUUACUUCUUCUUCUUUUUUAUGUAGAAGAAGAAGUGAGUAAUUAAGAAUGGAUCGAAGAUGAUUUGAAGAUCGAUGAGGAAUCGAAUCGAUCUCUGUGUUUCUGACAGAAGAAUGAUGAGUCGGGUAUAGGCGACAAAUUGAAGAAGAAAGAGCCAAAAGCUUGAGAAUUAAAAAGUGAGGAGCAGCAGCCACAAAAAAUAAAAAUUGAGAGGAGCAGAUUUGAUGCAAUGGGCAAUCAAUCUACUUAUCUAUAUGAUGAGGAAAAAGAGCUGGAAAAGCAUAAACAACUUUCUAGUAGCUAAUGUUAAGAAAGAAAUACCUUUUUUUCCCCCAUUGUUGCAGCAGUGAGAUGGGAUCUGAUGUUCUUUGUGAACGGAACCUCCCAGCUAAAAUGAUUGAAUAGGACGGGAGUCAGUGACCCGAGUUGGCAUAUAAAUUGAGCAGCUGGCGGNNNNNNNNNNNNNNNNNNNNNNNNNNNNNNNNNNNNNNNNNNNNNNNNNNNNNNNNNNNNNNNNNNNNNNNNNNNNNNNNNNNNNNNNNNNNNNNNNNNNNNNNNNNNNNNNNNNNNNNNNNNNNNNNNNNNNNNNNNNCUCUCUCUCUCUCUCUCUCUCUCUCUCUCUCUGAUCUGAAACUUUUCCUCUCUCUCUUUCACCGAUGCCACCCUCCUUCGCCGAUGCCAUCCCACCCGCCGCUUCAUCUCCGGCUCCGACGAGGUCCGGGAGCUGCCGGAAAACGACUGCAAGAUCUGAACGAUCGCAUCCACCAAGACCCGAGGGGCCGGGCUCGUCAUUCUCAUCGACGACAUCCACUUCGGUCAAGUCCAGUGAGCCCGUCGUUGUCGCCGCCGUCGGUCAACAUCUGCACCGUUUCACAUUGGCGCUGCCUCGAGGAUCCGCGACCGAGAUGUUACCAUCGAGAUAGGACGACUCCGGAGAAGCGUUGCGCUACUACGAGUCCGAAGAGCAGCGUUCUGGUCGUUCUCCAACGUCGUCUGCACACCGUCGCUUGGAAACGUCGAUGCGAGCUGAGCUUGACGAGGCCGACGAAGAUGGAGUCGGGAGGGAAGGUGGAGGCGGCGCCAGGGAGAGGAGGCUUGGUGUUGGUGGAUUUGGAGCGGAGGAGCUCGGUGAGGACGGUCAGGAUGCGCUUGGAGUCCACGUGGACGGUGAAGAGGUUGGGGACGUUGGCGGGGUAGGCGCGGAUGACCUCCGGCUGAUCAAUCUCCUCGAUUGAAAUCCCUCAAAACUUAGGCAGGUGCAUGGCUUUGACUAGUUUUUCUCUCUAUUUUUAUGAGAUGAGAAUUUGAGAAAAGAGGAAGGGUGAAUAGGAAAAGGGACGGUGGAAUAUUGAACGUUGACGAUGUUUAUUAGUCCAGUUGUUUUGUUUUCUGAGUCCUUUCGAACUUAAAAAUGUAUGUUUAAAAUGAUUAUUGACUGACAGUAACUGAUUAUUGGGGGUCAGUAACUGAUUAUGUUCUAAUAUUUCUUUUUUCUAGUAUUAUUAAGCUGAAAUAAGUUGAUUAUUGGGGGUCAGUAAUUGAUUAUUAGAGGUUAGUAACACGAUUAUUAGGGGUCAGUAACUGGUUAUUGGGGUCAGUAACUGGUUACUGGGUGUCAGUAACUAACUGGUUACUGGGUGUCAGUAACUGGUUAUUAGGUGUCAGUAACUGGUUACUAGGUGUCAGUAACUGGUCAGUUAGUGGUUACUGGGUGUCAGUAACUAGUUAUUGGGGGUUAGUAACUGAUUAUUAUGAGUCAUUAACUUGUCAGUAACUGGUUAUUGGGAGUCAGUAACUAGUUACAGGGGAAAUUCCGGAGUCCGGCGAUCGAGGAAAUUCUGGUGACCGGAGUCCGGCGGUCGGGGAAAUUCCAGUGACCGGAGUCCGGCGGCCGGUGACCAGAGUCCGGUGAGAUUCCGGCCAAGUAUUCUCUCUUUUAUUUUCUCUCUCUAUGCAUAUGUAAGAGGUGAGGGCAAAAUAGUCUUAAAAUAAUAUGGUUAAUUUGUUAAGACUUUAGUAAAUAUUUGUGUAUUUUGGCAUAAAGAUUUGUGCAUUUGGACAUAAAAAAAUGCAUCUUAUAUUGAAAUGGGCUAAUGAAAAAGAUUUUCAUUGGAAUAAAAAUAAAAAUUUAAAUUAGUACUAAAUUGACAUUCUAAUGCAAUAGAAUGGUCUGAAUGUGGAGGAUGGACCAAAUUAAUACCGCAGUAAUAUGAUUAGGGUGUCAUUCACCCGGCCACAUCUUGUUGUUUUCGAUUCAAGUAUCAAGCACCCACAUGGCACAUGGAGCAUCCCACAACUGUCCCCGGCGCUAGUAGUUGCCACCGUCCAUCUUCGGACUAGCAAAUUGUUAUGGAUCAUUCUCCUUACCAUGAUCCACGACGUAUUACCAAGAAUACAUGAUAAGCCAUUGUUUCCCCCUUUCUUUUGCGUCUGUGACUAUCAGGACCGGGAGAGAUGAGGUUUAUUGGUCUAUGGUGUGGUGAGGGUACGGUACAUGGUUCGUUAUGGUGUUUCCUGCCUAUCCACCGUUGCAUAUGUGCGAUCGGCGUAUGAAUUUAGGUUAUAUAUAUAUAUAUUUUUUUUUUUCAUUUUAAAUGGUGGGCCUCGCAGCCAACAAAUGCCCGUCACACAUUAACCGUUAGCCCUGUAUGGUCUCCGCCUGGCCCAUAUAAAUAAUUUGUUUUUUAUAUUCUUUUUCUUUCUUUUUUAAAUGGUGGACCCCGCAUUUUGCGUGUAGCGAACCGCCUAGCCCCAAAUGAUCUCCGCCUAAUCCAUAUAAAUUAUUUUUCGUUUAUAUUUUUUUUCCUCUUAAAAUCUGGGAAGAAACCUUUAGCGGCCUUACUGUUGUUGUUGCACAGCCGACUUCUCCGUCUCCGCCACGUAAUUGGACUACGGCCAUGGUCAUAUGUCUAAACUUAACAUGUAUGUGUUGAAUUGAAGUUUCUGAGUCAGAAGGCUGUUAGAGUCAUCGAUUGCAGGUAUAUAUGGUAUAUUAUUGCCGUAUAUAUAUUGGUUGAUUGUUUAGUUUCCGAGUUGUUGUUAAGGAUCGGGUUAAAAAGAUUGAGCAUUAUAUUAUAGCUAUUUAUAGCUAUAAACAGCACAUUGCAUAUCCAUUGAUGAAUUUAUGUUAGUGAUGCAUGUUGGAAUGAAAACUGAUCGGUGUUGGCUAGUUUGGAAUGAAAACUGAUUUGGUGUUAGCAAGUUUCAAUUGAAUAAAGUUUGAAUUGCAUUUUGUAUAUUCUAGAUUAAGUUAUUAAUUGUCGCUUCUGCAUGUUGGUUUUAUUCUUGUUUUAGGACAUUUUAAUCAGGUUUCAUUUUUUGUAUAUGUUACUAUUGAAUUUGUUGUGCUAGGUUUCUUGGUUCUACUUGCUGAUGAUGAAGUUUAGGUCCUGGCAAAGUUGAUAAUUUUGUAAGCUUGUAGGUGUUUUGCCUUGUGUCAUGGUCCAUUACGAAGGGUGAUGAUCCUGCAAAUGCAGCCUUCUCGGAAGUAAGUUAAUCUCAUGAAAUUAUCUCAUCUUUUUAAUCCUUGUCAGAGCUCUAUACAUUUUUUGGUUUAAGCAUACCAGCUUGUGUUUCAAGUCAAAUUUAUUGUUUGAGAUUCAUAUCUUUUGUUUAGUCUCUGUUGUUUUACUUUUAUUCGUCUCUUUGUCCAAUUGUUAUAAGAUCCGAAAACGUUAUAUAAGAUACUAGAUUGAGAAUGUUCCAAGUUCUAAAACACCACAUAAUGUUUCGUUUCGUGCAAAGGGACCUGAGACUGGAAGUCAAGUACCAUAUGGCCUUGCAGGGGAGAGUAGUCUGGUUAAACGUGAUUGACCCAGAUUUCACUGAAAUUCUUAGGAAUGACUAGAAUCUAGUUAAACAUGCAGUUGCCCCGUUGCCCUCAUGGACCUUGUGAGAAUGUGAGUGAAAGCAGCUUCCAGUGUUCCAUUUGAGCCAUAAGUUGGGCCUUUCUGCAACGGUCACCUUGGAGGACCAUUAAGGAACCAAACAAGUGGAUCGGCCCAUUUAUGAUCUUAGCCCUAGUCUAAGCAAGAACAAUAAGAGAGAGACUUGCAUGUCAAACUAUUCACUUCUUUCAUACAUGUAUGCAUAGGAAGUAAGUAAUGGCAAACAGAUGGUAUUAUGUAGGUGAUUGUAAAUCGAACAUAAACAUAUGGUUCCAUUCAAACCGAAGGAAUAUAAUGUACAACUUUUAGUGGGCUAAUUAACACGCAUAUCAAAGUUGCUUCUCUAGCUAGUAAAAGAACUAAGAACAACGUACCCUUAUUAUACUACUCAACAGUCGUUCAUAAAUUAAACAAACUCCAGAUUUUGAGUAAUAGAAAAUGGAGUUGCAUUGGACUUGUCCUACUUCUUUGUCGGCAAUAGACGGUGUGUAUGAGUGCAAUCGCAGCAGCAUCGAAUAUUUUAACUAGUUUGUAGGCUUGGGGAUCGUUCUUUCAUGUGAAUCAAUCACACAUAUAGUUGACCUAAUUUCAUACUCGCCCACUUUUUAUACUUAGAUGCAUCCAUCGCAUGGAGAUCGAGUUGGAGACCUAGCUAGCUAGCUCAUCUUAAUUAUUGGUACCAAAUUCUUCCAACAAAUGGACAAAUAAUUCAAAAAAAUAUAUGCAUAUGUGCACAGGACAAAAUUCAUAUGCAAUUUGAUGGAACUUUUAUUUCAUUAAUGGAAUAAAGAUUGUAACAACUUCUUCUUCUUCUUCUUCUUGUAGCUAGCUCUAUAAUGGAUGGCUGGCAUGGCUAACCUGAUCGUGACAUAUCCACCACCAUCACCAUUGAUCACCAACCAUGCUUUAUUAUUUUACUUUUGUUCUAUAUAUAAAAAACAACACCAACUUUAACGUACACUGUAAAAAUGGAGACACCGAUCGAUCGAGCUGGAAGCAGUUUUCCCACAAAGUAUAGUAGAAGGUCAAGGCAGGUAUACAGAUAUGAUCGAUUUUACAUGAUGGCGCACGCUUGGGGAUUUUCUUCACUGAAACAAUCAGGGCGUGUCACGCAGUAACUACUAGUGGCGUAGCUCCUCCCACCGCCGUAACUAUCGUACACUGGCCUUCCAUAGUAGCCGUCGUACUGUAUGUAUGGUGCUGCCCCACCGUAACCGUACCCAGUUUGGCAGGGACCACCCGGAUGCCCUCCGUAACAUUCCAUACAACACGCGUUCACCGUCACCGGAGGGUAAGCAGUAACCGGAGGCUGAGUAGGCUGAGAAGGCUUCGGCUUCUCUGCGUCCUUGGGUUUCUCUUUAGGUUUUUCAGCCUCUUUAGGUUUCUCAGCCUCCUUUGGUUUCUCAGCCUCUUUUGGUUUCUCUUUAGGCUUUUCAGCCUCUUUAGGUUUCUCAGCCUCCUUUGGUUUCUCUUUAGGCUUCUCAGCCUCCUUUGGUUUCUCUUUAGGCUUCUCAGGCUCCUUGGGCUUGGGCUUCUCGGGCGGCAAGAUGUCGAUGCUCUUGAUGGCGCCACCUCCUUUGCAGCAUAGCUUGUCUCUGAUCUUCUCAGGACUGCAGCAGACCACCUUGAUGAUCACCUGGUUGUUCUUCUCGUCGUACGCCUGGUCUCGUAUUUCUCUUGUUCACAAAAUCCAACCAAUACCAGAAACCACACUCAAUUUACGUUUUUUUGUUUUCUCUGCUAAAAUACACAACGUACCAGAAUGGAAGAGAAAAGAAGAGACUCACGAGGGAAUUUACACAGAACUUUCUUAACCUUCUUGUAGCAUUUUUCACACUGAAGGUCCACCUUCAGAACCAUUAUCGUCACCUGAUGACAUUAAUACAAUCAUUUUUGCAGAAAUUAGAUAGGUAUAGAAUGGUUAAUUACUUCUUCUUCUUCUUCUUCUUUUUUUCUGCAGAAGAAGAAGUGAGUAAUUAAGAAUGGAUCGAAGAUGAUUUGAAGAUGGAUGAGGAAUUUUAUCCAUCAGGUUCUGUGUUUCUGACAGAAGAAUGAUGAGUCGGUUAUAGGCGACAAAUUGAAGAAGAAAGAGCCAAAAGCUUGAGAAUUAAAAAGUGAGGAGCAGCAGCCACAAAAAAUAAAAAUUGAGAGGAGCAGAUUUGAUGCAAUGGGCAAUCAAUCUACUUAUCUAUAUGAUGAGGAAAAAGAGCUGGAAAAGCAUAAACAACUUUCUAGUAGCUAAUGUUAAGAGAGAAAUACCUUUUUUUCCCCCAUUGUUGCAGCAGUGAGAUGGGAUCUGAUGUUCUUUGUGAACGGAACCUUCCCAGCUAAAAUGAUUGAAUAGGACGGGAGUCAGUGACCCGAGUUGGCAUAUAAAUUGAGCAGNNNNNNNNNNNNNNNNNNNNNNNNNNNNNNNNNNNNNNNNNNNNNNNNNNNNNNNNNNNNNNNNNNNNNNNNNNNNNNNNNNNNNNNNNNNNNNNNNNNNNNNNNNNNNNNNNNNNNNNNNNNNNNNNNNNNNNNNNNNNNNNNNNNNNNNNNNNNNNNNNNNNNNNNNNNNNNNNNNNNNNNNNNNNNNNNNNNNNNNNNNNNNNNNNNNNNNNNNNNNNNNNNNNNNNNNNNNNNNNNNNNNNNNNNNNNNNNNNNNNNNNNNNNNNNNNNNNNNNNNNNNNNNNNNNNNNNNNNNNNNNNNNNNNNNNNNNNNNNNNNNNNNNNNNNNNNNNNNUUUUUUUUUUUGGUCAAGAAAAAAAAAAGGGAACCAUUUAGCAAUGUUGACAUAUGCAUGGAGGUGAAACUUUCAAAAACCGCGGGCUCCAGAUAUUGACGAUUGCACGUUUCUUACACCCAGGGUCUUCGAUCUAUUACAUCUUCAUCAUGGAAAAUUAAAUUAUUAUGUUACGUACAUACAUGGAUAUGUGAUGUGGGAGUGGUUCUAAAAAUAACUAUUUAGUUGAAUAUUUUUUUAUUAAUAGUUUAUUACAUAUAUUUUUCAAUUAAUUUUUUAUCUCAACCGUUUAGUUUUUAAUAGAUCAUUUUUUUAAAUUUUCAACCAAAUUUUUGAUCGUUAAGGAAUCGAACUUAAUCAAAUCAAUUGACGAUCCUUAUCUAUUAAAUAUGAGUCGUUCAAGUUUAUAAUCGGUAAAUCACAUUUAUGAAUAUCUCAACGAUUUUAAAUUUAGAUAAAAAUUUAUAGAGAUGAUAUUUUCAUAUAUAUUUACAAAUUAGGCGGUCGAGAUGUGAACAUGUGAUUGAAAACGGAGUGAAACAAAGAAAUUUUCAAUUAGUCUUCAACUUAGUGGUCCUCGUUAGAACCACUCUCAUGUGAUACAAACAUACUUUAUUACGAGGCAAAAUUUUCCUAUCACACCAUCACCACCCUACUAGCACAUGUUCUUUUUUUCUUAGUUGUAUGUAUCAUAUACCUAUAACCUAUCUUCAUAGUAGAUAAUCCCCUUCAUCAUACAUACACGUGUUGUGUUUACACAGCUAUAUUCAAAAACUUAAUUUUAAGAUUAACCUCAUCGUCAUUCUAAUUUAAAAAUAAUAUUAUGAAAUAGCAUGUGAUCGACCUUUGGCUCUUUACUGAUGAUUGUAUUUGUGUGACUGUCUCCUCAAUUUGAUUCUUCGUCCCAUAAAAAUAAUAUAUAAGCGUAAUUAGUCUUUGUACGUAGUAUCAUCGAUCUUAUACGUACAUGGCCAUGCAUUUAUCCGUUGUAAUAUCACUGGUUAUUUGUUGAUGAGCAGACUAUAUGAUAGGUAGCUAUGUAGCAAAUUACUCAAUUCCGAGCACAAAAAUACAGCAAUCAAUUGUUUGUCUUGAUCGGUAGUCUCACUCAAUCACAUACGUAAGUGACCGGAUCACUCAUGCAUGACUCAGCUAGACCUAGAGCUGGAGGGUGGUGUCUUCAUAAGAAGUUGAAAUCUGUGAACACAGCCAUCGAAUAAAUUCAACAAAGUCCUCAGUAGUGGGCAUCGGACAACAACCUUACGCAACUUAGGCUCCAUCGAUCUCAUCAUAUAUGCUUUACAAAUAUUUCUUCUGCCGACAAUUUCACACAUUUUACAAGCCCAUAUGCCAGUCUUCUUAAAUAUAACCAAGAUAUGCCUUCCACUUAGCCCAAUGCAAUGGACCUAAUAUUAAGCCCACGCUAUAUAUGCACAAUCCGGGCCUCCCAUCUAUUCUGUACGGGAAUUAUGAUCGGUACGGUGAGUUUGAGACUCUGACCAGCAUCGUCGACGAUCCAAUGACUCGAUUCAUACACCAUUCAUGUACAAAAAACGAUACGAGUCUAUAACCAAUUUUUCAUCGAGUUUAUUGAGGCUACUGUGCACUUUGAACUCUGCACGACUCAUGCAUCUUCAAUCAUGUACGUGUAGCUAACUGAACCUGAAUCAAAUUCACACUCUUUAAAAUUAGUACUAAAUGAACAUACCUGUUCUCUUCAUUACAUAUCAGUGUAGCCGAUAUCAGCACACAUAGACAAAAGGGUGUUAUAGAGAAUUACAUUCAACUCCAUUCCCUUCUCCUUCAUCUCCUUGGCAAAGAGCCCUUGCUGAUCAUCUCUCGGUAAAUUUUCUUGGCCUGCCAAGGCCUCUUAGCUCUUCCCAUAGAAUCCAACAAAGUAUUAUAAAUAACCAUGUUCGGCUUAACCCAAAUUGCCUUCAUUUCCUCGUAAACUUUCAAGCACCCAUCAUAAUUCCCUGAUUGCCCGUGAAUCUUAAUCAACGUUGCAAAUGUCACUGGAUCAAUGCGCCAUUUCUCUGUCCUAGCGCAGUCAUACAAGCUAAAAGCCUUGUCAACAUUACCGGCACGGCCAUAUGCAUCGAUCAUAGCCGAAUAGGUAACAUCAUCAGGACUACACCCGUAACUAGGCAUCUUCUCAAACCACUCCACAGCCUUAUCAGGCAGAUAACACAUCCUAGCACAGCUAAUCAUAGUCGAAAACGUAACAUUAUCAGGUGUAACACCUCUCUCAAGCAUCUCAUUAAACAGCUUCUCUGCUCUCACUAAAUCCUUACACUUUCUAAACACUUUCAAUGUCACAUUGUAGAGAACCACUUCCCUCUUAGGUUUGAACAUGUGCUGAAAGUACUUUAGAGCAAGUAACGCAUUUUCGGGGUUACCAUGGUAUUAAGAACAACGACAGCAUCUUGUUCCAAAACCCCAUCACCUAAAGUCUUUAAAAUAUCAAAAACAUCACUUUCACUUAGGCAGACAGAGUUCAAGGACUCAGCUACUUUGACUAAAGAAGUGUACCUGGAAUCGUAGGACUUGUUCCUAAGAUGAGAAGCCCUGGGGCUGCUGGGAUUGACCCAAACAUAGCUUUUGGAGGAAGACUCGGAAUUUCCAUCGGGGUUUUCAGUUUUUGGGGUUUCUUGUAAAGAAACAUGGUUUAUUUGGAGAGAAAUUGUGGAGUGAAGAGUAGGGAAGGUGAGAUUGAAGGUGUGAGUAUCAGAGGUGGUUGGCCUGAGCUUUCUAGAGGAGGAGAGAGAGUGAGAGAGAAAGAGAGACGAGGGUGUGGAGGAUACAUGAUAAGCCAUUGUUUCCCUCUUUGUUUUGCGUCUGUGACUAUCAGGACCGAAGAGAGAGAUGAGGUUUAAUGGUCUCUGGUGUGGUGAGGGUACAUGGUUCGUUAUGGUGUUUCCUGCUUCUCCACCGUUGGAUAUAUGGGAUCGGCGUAUGAUUUUAGUUUAUAUUUGUUUUUUUUUUUCGUUUUAAAUGGUGGAUCUCGCAGCCCACAAAGGGCCGCCACACGUGGACCGCCUAGCCCUGUUUUGUCUCCGCCUAGCCCAUAGAAAUUAUUUUUUCUUUUGUAUUUUCUUUUUCUUUUUUUUAAAUCAUGGACCCCGUAUUCUGUUAAGGCCCGCUACACGUGGACCGCCUAGCGCCAUAUGGUCUCAGCCUAGCCCAUAUAAAUUACUUUUCUUUUAUAUUUUUUUUCCUCUAAAAAUCUGGGAUGAAACCUUUGGCGGCCUUGUUGUUGUUGUGUAGCCGACUUCUCCGUCUCCGCCGCGUAAUUGGACGGCAACCAUAGUCAUCUGUCUAAACAUAACAUGUAUGUGCCGAAUUGAGGUUUCUGAGUCGGAAGGUUGUUAGUCAUCGAUUGCAGGUAUAUAUGGUAUAUUACUGCCGUAUGUAUAUUGAUUGAUUUGUUUAGUUUCCGAGUUGAUUGUCAUGGAUUGGGUUAAAAAAGUUGAGCAUUAUAUUAUAGCUAUUUAUAGCUAUAAACAACACAUUGCAUAUCCAUUGAUGCAUAUAUGUUAGUGAUGUUUGAAUGAAAACUGAUUCGGUGUCGGCAAGUUUAUAAUGAAAACUGAUUUGGUGUUAGCAAGUUUCAGUUGAAUAAAGUUUGAAUUGCAUUUUGUAUAUUAUAGAUUAAGUUAUUAGUAGUCGCUUAUGCGUAUUGGUUUUAUUCUUGUUUUUGGUUUAAUCAGGUUUCAUUUUCUGUAUAUGUUACUAUUGAAUUUGUUGUGCUAGCAGGUUUCUUGGUUCUACUUGCUGAUGAUGAAGUUUAGGUAGCUGAUAAUUUUGUAAGCUUGUAGGUGUUUUGCCUUGUGUCAUGGUCCGCUGCGGAGGGUGGAUGAUCCAGCAAAUGCAGCCUGCUUGGAAGUAAGUUAAUCUCAUGAAAUUAUCUCAUGUUUUUAAUCUUUGUUAGAGCUCUAUACAUUUUUUUGUUUGAGCAUACCAGUUUCUGUGUCAAGUCAAGUUUACUGCUUGGGAUUCAGAUCUUCUAUUUAGUCUCUGUUGUUUUACUUUUAUUCGUCUCUUUGUCCAAUUGUUAUAAGAUAAAAAAAUAAAAAAAGGUUAUAUAAGAUGCUAGAUUGAGAAUGUCCCAAGUUCUAAAACACCACAUAAUGUUUCGUUUUGUACAAAAGGACCUGAAACACUGAAGGAAGAUGGUACGUAACUUAUUGUUCCUGGAAUCCAUAACUUUACAUCAACAACUUAUUGUUCCUGUAACAACUUAUUCUUCUUCUUGUACCUCUAUAAUGGAUGGCUGGCACCGUGGCGUAGCUAGCUAGGGGUCAAACGGUUCAAUUGAACCCUCUCAGAUUUUGAAAAAGCUUAAUUAGCUAGCCUUAAUGAACAAACAUAAAUUGACAUUUCUUCUUUGAGAAAUCCUUAAUUAAUCUUAAAUAUUCUUCAACACCAAUAGAAUGAAAUAAAAAUUUAUACUAUUAAAAUACUUAAUCUAAUUAAUACAAAUCAUGUAAAUAGUUUCUUACCUUACUAACGUGUACUUUAAUGCUUUGAAUUCCAUUUACGAUUUUUUUUUUCAUUACAAAUAAGCUAAAUGGAAGCAACACAUUAAUGUUUACUAUGCAUUGACACUAUCUCUAGAAAAAGAAAAGGCAACAUAUUUUUCUCAAUAUUUAUCGUGCAUGAAAUUUCAAAAUUUAUUUAAGAUGAUUAUCGUGCUAGCUAGAGAGUGAUUGAAAAUAAAUUUAAUUUAUUAGGUAAUAAAUUUUGACCAUUCUAAAUAACAUUUCUAGCUACGCCACAGAGGGACGGCUACCUGAUCGUGACAUAUCCACCACCAUCACCAUUGAUCACCAACCAUACUUUAUUAUUUACUUUUGUUCUAUAUAUAAAAAACAACACCAACUUUAAAAAACAACACCAACCUUAAAAAUAGAGAUCGGUCGAGCUGGAAGCAGCUUUCCCACAAAGUACAAUAGCAGGUCAAGGCAGGUAGACAGACAUGAUCGAUUUUACAUGAUGGCGCACGCUUGGGGAUUUUCUUCACUGAAACAAUCGGGGCGUGUCACGCAGUAACUACUAGUGGAGUAGCUCCUCCCACCGCCGUAACUAUCAUACACUGGCCUUCCAUAGUAGCCAUCGUACUCUAUGUAUGGUGCUGCCCCACCGUAACCGUACCCAGUUUGGCAAGGACCACCCGGAUGCCCUCCGUAACAAUCCAUACAACACGUGCUCCCCGUCACCGGAGGGUUAGCAGGAACAACCGGAGGCGGAGGCGGAGGUGGAGGCGGAGUAGGCUUCGACUUCUCUGCGUCCCGGAUUUGGCAGGGACAACCCGGAUGCCGUCCGUAACAAACAAUACAACACACGUUCACUGUCACCGGAGGGUAAGCAGGAAACGGAGGCGCAGUAAGCUUCGGAUUCUCUGGUUUCUUUUCAGGCUCUGGUUCCUUUUCAGGCUCUUGUUUCUUUUCAGGCUCUGGUGUCUUUUCAGGCUCUUGUUUCUUUUCAGGCUCUGGUGUCUUUUCAGGCUCUUGUUUCUGUUUAGGCUUUGGUGUCUUUUCAGGCUCUUGUUUCUUUUUAGGCUCUAAGAUGUCGAUUCUCUUGAUGGCGCCAUCUCCUUCGCAGCAUAGCUUGUCUCUGAUCUUCUCAGGAC